UACGUAGGGUGCGAGCGUUAAUCGGAAUUACUGGGCGUAAAGCGUGCGUAGGCGGUUCGUUAAGUCAGUUGUGAAAGCCCCGGGCUCAACCUGGGAAUUGCGGUUGAAACUGGCGAACUAGAAUCUGGCAGAGGGGGGUGGAAUUCCACGUGUAGCAGUGAAAUGCGUAGAGAUGUGGAGGAACACCGGUGGCGAAGGCGGGUCUCUGGGCAGUAACUGACGCUGAGGAGCGAAAGCGUGGGGAGCGAACAGG
rnacentral:rRNA from 1 species